rnacentral:rRNA from 1 species
GCAUCGAUGAAGAACGCAGCUAACUGCGUGUCGGAAUGCGAACUGCAGGACAUACGAGCAUCGACACUUUGAACGCAUAUUGCGGAGCGUGGCUCGUCCACUCUCCAUGUCUGGUUCAGGGACGGUUUAACAUCCAUCCAGCCUUGCUGCUGGCAUUGGGCUCUUCCCUCUUCACCGAGGGAUGGCUUUAAGUUUUUGCGAGCUCGAGACCCUUGUCUUUGGUCGCUGACUCUCGGGUUGAUCUCUUGAUUGCCCGGGUUGGCUCUUGGACUUUUCGGGGGCUCUUUGCUCUUGGCGGUGUCCGUCUCGGAUCUGCCUUGCCAAACUUAUUCACGUCCUGAAAGCAGACAAGAUUACCCGCCAAAUUUAAGCAUAUCAAUAAGCGGAGGA